GUCGGAGAUUCGCGGAUCAGUCUCUCCCCUAACGGUGCUAAGAUGCAUUCGAGAUGCAACGGUGCAAGUGUCUUUCCUCCGGAGUAGCGUUUCUUCGCUUUGUUAAUAGGCUCUUGCGCUGUGUGAUCUUUGCAUUACAUGAAAAUAGUUGGUGUCGAUAAAGAAAAAUGACAUUGUUUGAUGUGGGAGGAAUGAUGUUGCAUGAUGUAAAAAUUGGGGAGGAGGAGGAUUUUUCUGGUAAAAGGUCUAUGAUAAAUAUAUAGCUGCUGAAUGUAUUUUAUAGUCAGAUAGUUGGCUUAUUAUAUAGUAUUAAAUCUCCUCGAUAAACGUUCGACUAGGAAAUGGCAAAUUGGCGAAAGAGUAUGCUAAAAGAUUUUUUCACGUGUUGACAUUAAAACGUAUUUCUGAAUGAUGUGACUGUUUAACGAAAUCGAUUGCACGUUCAUUGGGCAAGUGGUUAUUCCCGGUCGAAAUGGCAUUUGUGCACCUGCUAUUCCUGCCAUUCAAAUAUUACAAUGAAACGUAUCUUUGAACUGGACUUUACUGAAGGAACUUCGUCAGCAAUGUCAAGGACCUUUUGCUUCUCUGUGUAGUAAAACGAUAGUUCCUGUUCACACAGAGUAUAUGAGUCGAGUCACGUCAAGUUCAUCUAUGUUUAGAUUACAAUAACACUUACCUUGUAAAUUGAACUUUGCUAAAUAUAGAUAAUCGGGAAAUUCAUCUACACUUACGUCUAUUAACUAGGAAUUUUAUAAAUAGUCGAAUAGUCAGAUUCAAAAAUUAUCUUGUAUUUUAUCGACACAGGAACAUAAAGCGUCAAUUACAAGAAGAUUCUUCAUCGAUCAAUCGCGGUGCCAGUUGACCACGUUGAAUAUACGUUUUUCAUUUUCCAGUAUAAAAAUAAAAUGACGAAUAAAAACCCGUCAUCGUUUACUAUACUAUAACUUUGGAUCAAGUUUCAUGCUAUCGAUAUUUAUGAUUCAUUGACUGUUUCCUCUUUUUAAUAGUUUAAAUAAGUAGUCUCUUGGUUGUGACUUUUGUAAUCGAUAAGAUAAUGAUUCAUGAUAUUUUCUAUCGAUAUAAUUUAAAGUAGUUUUCUCUCUUUAAAAUGCAGAAUUAUUUAUUGAAGAGAUUCUUACACGGAUCCAAGUCUCCUCUGAAGAAAAUAAUGAGCUGGGAUGUUCAUGAAAUAUCGGUACACAGCAAGAUGUACUAUUACAAGCGUGAUCGAAACGCGAAGAAUCACAAACAUGUCAUCCAAUAAAUUUAUAGUUAACAAAGAACCAAUUUUUCUCACAAAACAAAAUAUUUAGUCCCGGAAGGGCUAAUCAACGUUUCAAAAAACCGUAAUUAUAUUACGAGAAGCUGGAGAUGGUUCGUUCGUAAUAGUAACUCUUUUCUUUUUCUUUCUUUUUAUUCUUUUCGUUGAAGAGGAGACGUGGAACGGUCUUAACAUCUAACUCACAAGAUAUUAACGAUUUCGUAAGCCGAAUGAUCCCCGGAGACUCAUCGGAUAGACAAAGGCGUAGAAACCGCGGCUACCUGUUGCUUUACAACCGAAUGUGAAAGCCGAAUCUGCGAACCAGCCAAUACCUACCCCCCUAGCUCGUUUGGUCGUCGAAGUCGAAGCCUCGAGGCAACGUACACGCGGCCGUGCGUCCUUGGUAAUUGUGACAUUUGCUUUUCUCGGCGCGCGUACAACAGCGAGAAGAGCCGAGGAAAGUUAGUGACGUAACUACCGGUGACCUUGCCAUUUCAGAAGAAGAUACGGAGGAUGCCUCCGGCUACCGCGUCUCCAGGCGUCUUCUCUCCUUCCCUUCACUUCUUUUUCCCUUUCCUUUGCUUCCGUGGAUGUUACAGUGUAUCGAAAAUCAUACAUAUUAUACAAUUCUCUCUCUCGUUAGUUUUCGCCUCGAAAAGUAAAAAUAUACGUAUGCCUUCAUUCAUAAGUCACUUUAGAAACCUUGCCAAUUUUGAAUAGAAUGCUCAUCGAAGUAGGUUUUUUAGGAAGAUUCCAAAUCGAGAAUACGGGAAUUUAUACGACUCUUCAUUUUACUUUUUCUUAGGUAUCUCUUCGGUUAUGUAAUUUUUUAUAUUUACUAUUGUAAUGUUAACGGGCGUUGGAAGAUUGAACGCAAAGGAUUUCAGGCAAAUGACCUAUUGUCACUAAUUCGGUAUUCUCUUUCAGAGUUACUCGUACAAAUUUUGUUUUACCUAUGUUUAAUUUAUUG